UUCUGGACAAUGGGCGAAAGCCUGAUCCAGCAAUGCCGCGUGUGGGAAGAAGGCCUUCGGGUUGUAAACCACUUUUGUACGGAACGAAACGGUCUGCUUUAAUACAGUGGGCUAAUAACGGUACCUGAAGAAUAAGCACCGGCUAACUACGUGCCAGCAGCCGCGGUAAUACGUAGGGUGCAAGCGUUAAUCGGAAUUACUGGGCGUAAAGCGUGCGCAGGCGGUUAUGUAAGUCAGAUGUGAAAUCCCCGGGCUCAACCUGGGAAUGGCAUUUGAGGCUGCAUGGCUAGAGUGUGUCAGAGGGGGGUAGAAUUCCACGUGUAGCAGUGAAAUGCGUAGAGAUGUGGAGGAAUACCGAUGGCGAAGGCAGCCCCCUGGGAUAACACUGACGCUCAUGCACGAA
rnacentral:rRNA from 1 species